rnacentral:snRNA from 1 species
AGCUUUGCGCAGUGGCAGUAUCAUAGCCACUGAGGUUUAUCCGAGGCACGGUUAUUGUUAAUUGAGAUUGGAUUUAUUGCC